UACAGAGGUCUCAAGCGUUGUUCGGAUUCAUUGGGCGUAAAGGGCUCGUAGGCGGCCAACUAAGUCAGACGUGAAAUCCCUCGGCUUAACCGGGGAACUGCGUCUGAUACUGGAUGGCUUGAGUUUGGGAGAGGGAUGCGGAAUUCCAGGUGUAGCGGUGAAAUGCGUAGAUAUCUGGAGGAAUACCGGUGGCGAAGGCGGCAUCCUGGACCGACAUUGACGCUGAUGAGCGAAAGCUAGGGGAGCAAACGGG
rnacentral:rRNA from 1 species